GCCAGGUGCAGUGGCGCAUGCCUGUAGACCCGGCUACUCGGGAGGCUGAGGCUGGAGGAUCUCUUGAGUCCAGGAGUUCUGGGCUGUAGUGCGCUACGCCGAUCGGGUGUCCACACUAAGUUCAGCAUCAAUAUGGUGACCUCCCGGAGCGGGGGGUCACCAGGUUGCCUAAGGAGGGGUGAACCAGCCCAGGCCGGAAACAGAGCAGGUCAAAAUUCCCGUGCUGAUCAGUAGUGGGAUCGUGCCUGUGAAUAGCCACUGCACUCCAGCCUGGGCAACAUAGUGAGACCCCCUCUCU
rnacentral:SRP_RNA from 1 species